rnacentral:lncRNA from 1 species
GUUUUGAGUAUUUGCAAAGUUCGGAGUAUUAUGUACAAGAUUGGCGAAUUAAUCAACUUCAUGGAAGAUUUUGCCCCAAACGAGAUGCUUUGAGUAUUUGCAAAGUUCGGAGUCUAUUGUCAUUAUUUCUUUCAGUCUUGACAUCUCCAUCAGCCCGACUAAAGACUAUCCUCAGAGAGUUCGUCCAAAAAUCUGGCAGCAGACCAUCUAAGACCUUAUUUGAGUGAUGUUUACUUUGCACUUCAGGUGGUUCAAUUGGCUUUUAAUCAGAUUUCGGGUGCGCUCGGAUCUGGGCCAUUGUGAGUCCAACCUUUGAAGAUUGCUGGUUACAUUUUCUCUUUGCGCGCAUUUGAGCAGGCUAGAUGACUCAAUGGUGUUCUAUUAUGUUUGGCGAACAUGUGUUUCAACUCCACGAGCGCAUUCAACUUUAGCUUGGAGAGAAGUGAAUUUGUCGAUGCAUAGCCGACCUCAAUGCCAGAUGACUCAAUUCUUCGACAGGUCUUGGGUGCGCUCAGGCCUGGGAUUGUUUGAAUCUGGUUUGAGUGAGGUUGUUGUUAUGUUUGGCAUCUCACGAAGUUGGGAGAAUUCUGCACAACGGCUCGAGAAGAUUGAGUAUUUUCUUCUUGAUGCUUAAGCCAAGGAGAAUGAAGCCAUCGUCCGAAUUGCUUUGAUCAAGGAAGUGCUUGCUAUGAUAGAGAGGUGGAAGACAGAGAUGACGUUGUCCUUCAAGC